GGUGUCAUGGCUCAGUGAUAGAGCUUCUGCUUGCCAUACAAAAGGUCCCAGGUUCAACCCCUGACAUCACCA
rnacentral:tRNA from 1 species